GUUGAAUAAGAGGAAGAACGAUGAUUAGUAAACAGAAUUUUAUUAUAACAAUUUUGAUGGUAGUUUUUCUAUUCUCAAUAGGUAUAUAGAUAAUUUUAAUUGUGGAGUUUGAAUUUUUUAUAUAUUAUUUUUCUUAUACAUAUUGAUUAUUUAUUACACUAAUAUUACUCUUUUUAAUAGGUACAAAUAGUUUCUUACAUAGACGAAUGAAAUGUUUUUCCGAAUGUAACCAAAUGCCUGAUUGCAUGGCUUUUUGCACUAGCAAUGGGUAUUAUCAAGGAAAUUGUAAUCAUGACGAUAUUUUUGAUGUUUUUAGGUGUUGUUGUUACAAUUAUAAUAAACUUGUAACUUAGAUCUUUUCUUCUAACUUGAAGAAAAUAUUAUAUUUUAUAAAUAUAAGUAAGCUUUGUCAAAUGAAAUAAAACAUAUAAUAUUAUCAUAAAGUAUGAUCGGCAAAUUAG
rnacentral:lncRNA from 1 species